rnacentral:rRNA from 1 species
GGCCUGGCCGGACGGUCCGUCUCUGGCGAGUACUGUUCUGUCGUCGGGUCUAUCCUUCUGGUAAGCCGUUAUGUUCUUAAUUGAGCGUAGCGGGGAGCCAGGACCAUUACCUUGAAAAAAUUAGAGUGUUCAAAGCAGGCUUAUGUCUGAAUACAUUAGCAUGGAAUAAUAGAAUAGGACGGUGGUCCUGUUUUGUUGGUUUCUGAAUCACCGUA